rnacentral:rRNA from 1 species
GUGAAAUUCCGUCGGAAUCUGGGAGGACCAUCUCCUAAGGCUAAAUACUCUCUAGUGACCGAUAGUGAACCAGUACCGUGAGGGAAAGGUGAAAAGCACCCCGGAAGGGGAGUGAAAUAGAACCUGAAACCGUGUGCUUACAAGUAGUCAGAGCCCGUUAAUGGGUGAUGGCGUGCCUUUUGUAGAAUGAACCGGCGAGUUACGAUUUGAUGCAAGGUUAAGCAGUAAAUGUGGAGCCGUAGCGAAAGCGAGUCUGAAUAGGGCGUUUAGUAUUUGGUCGUAGACCCGAAACCAGGUGAUCUACCCUUGGUCAGGUUGAAGUUCAGGUAACACUGAAUGGAGGACCGAACCGACUUACGUUGAAAAGUGAGCGGAUGAACUGAGGGUAGCGGAGAAAUUCCAAUCGAACCUGGAGAUAGCUGGUUCUCUCCGAAAUAGCUUUAGGGCUAGCCUCAAGUGAUGAUUAUUGGAGGUAGAGCACUGUUUGGACGAGGGGCCCCUCUCGGGUUACCGAAUUCAGACAAACUCCGAAUGCCAAUUAAUUUAACUUGGGAGUCAGAACAUGGGUGAUAAGGUCCGUGUUCGAAAGGGAAACAGCCCAGACCACCAGCUAAGGUCCCAAAAUAUAUGUUAAGUGGAAAAGGAUGUGGCGUUGCCCAGACAACUAGGAUGUUGGCUUAGAAGCAGCCAUCAUUUAAAGAGUGCGUAAUAGCUCACUAGUCGAGUGACACUGCGCCGAAAAUGUACCGGGGCUAAACAUAUUACCGAAGCUGUGGAUUGUCCUUUGGACAAUGGUAGGAGAGCGUUCUAAGGGCGUUGAAGCAUGAUCGUAAGGACAUGUGGAGCGCUUAGAAGUGAGAAUGCCGGUGUGAGUAGCGAAAGACGGGUGAGAAUCCCGUCCACCGAUUGACUAAGGUUUCCAGAGGAAGGCUCGUCCGCUCUGGGUUAGUCGGGUCCUAAGCUGAGGCCGACAGGCGUAGGCGAUGGAUAACAGGUUGAUAUUCCUGUACCACCUAUAAUCGUUUUAAUCGAUGGGGGGACGCAGUAGGAUAGGCGAAGCGUGCGAUUGGAUUGCACGUCUAAGCAGUAAGGCUGAGUAUUAGGCAAAUCCGGUACUCGUUAAGGCUGAGCUGUGAUGGGGAGAAGACAUUGUGUCUUCGAGUCGUUGAUUUCACACUGCCGAGAAAAGCCUCUAGAUAGAAAAUAGGUGCCCGUACCGCAAACCGACACAGGUAGUCAAGAUGAGAAUUCUAAGGUGAGCGAGCGAACUCUCGUUAA